CCUACGGGAGGCAGCAGUGGGGGAUAUUGCACAAUGGGGGAAACCCUGAUGCAGCGACGCCGCGUGUGGGAAGACGGUCCUCUGGAUUGUAAACCACUGUCCCCAGGGACGAAGAUGACGGUACCUGGGGAGGAAGCUCCGGCUAACUACGUGCCAGCAGCCGCGGUAAUACGUAGGGAGCGAGCGUUGUCCGGAAUUACUGGGUGUAAAGGGAGCGUAGGCGGGGAUGCAAGUUGGGUGUAAAAACUACCGGUUCAACUUGUAGUCGCACUCAAAACUGCAGCUCUUGAGUGAAGUAGGGGCAGGCGGAAUUCAUAGUGUAGCGGUGAAAUGCGUAGAUAUUAGGAGGAACACCAGUGGCGAAGGCGGCCUGCUGGGCUUUUACUGACGCUGAGGCUCGAAAGUGUGGGGAUCAAACAGGAUUAGAUACCCCGGUAGUC
rnacentral:rRNA from 1 species